AGUAACACGUGGAUGACCUACCUAUAAGACUGGGAUAACUUCGGGAAACCGGAGCUAAUACCGGAUAAUAUUUUGAACCGCAUGGUUCAAAAGUGAAAGACGGUCUUGCUGUCACUUAUAGAUGGAUCCGCGCUGCAUUAGCUAGUUGGUAAGGUAACGGCUUACCAAGGCAACGAUGCAUAGCCGACCUGAGAGGGUGAUCGGCCACACUGGAACUGAGACACGGUCCAGACUCCUACGGGAGGCAGCAGCG
rnacentral:rRNA from 1 species